rnacentral:rRNA from 1 species
ACGGCUCAGUAACACGUGGAUAACCUGCCCAAAAGUCUGGGAUAACCCCGGGAAACUGGGGAUAAUACCGGAUGGAUCACUUCUGCUGGAAGGCUUGGUGGUUUAAAGGCAACGCUUUUGGAUGGGUCUGCGGCGGAUUAGGUUGACGCCGGUGUAACGUACCGGCGUGCCUGUAAUCCGUACGGGUUGUGGGAGCAAGAGCCCGGAGAUGGAUUCUGAGACACGAAUCCAGGCCCUACGGGGCGCAGCAGGCGCGAAAACUCUACAAUGCAGGCAACUGCGAUAGGGGGACAUCGAGUGGCACCCACCUUGGGUGCCUGUCCCACCGUCUAAAAAACGGUGGUUAGCAAGGGCCGGGUAAGACCGGUGCCAGCCGCCGCGGUAAUACCGGCGGCUCGAGUGGUGGCCGAUAUUAUUGAGUCUAAAGGGUCCGUAGCCGGCUUUGCAAGUCCCCUGGGAAAUCCAGCGGCUCAACCGUUGGGCUUCCAUGGGAUACUACAUUGCUUGGGACUGGGAGAGGUAGGAGGUACUCGGGGGGUAGGGGUGAAAUCCUGUAAUCCUCCGGGGACCACCGGUGGCGAAGGCGUCCUACCAGAACAGGUCCGACGGUGAGGGACGAAAGCUAGGGGCACGAACCGGAUUAGAUACCCGGGUAGUCCUAGCCGUAAACGAUGCCCGCUAGGUGUCACGGCGGUCGUGAAUCGCCGUGGUGCCGUAGGGAAGCCGCGAAGCGGGCCACUUGGGAAGUACGGCCGCAAGGCUGAAACUUAAAGGAAUUGGCGGGGGAGCAC